CACAGGAAAGAGUGAAAUUUCUUGUUACGAUUUACGAAAAUUAAUAAUCGAUUGAUUCAAUUAAGUAAAUAACCGAUACAUCGUUGUAUCAUCGAUUAUUCCAAGUUUGAUCAUUCGAAUAAUUGACAUUUACAUAACCAAAACUUCGAAUAAUCAAUCAUUACAGGAUUUUAUUUUAUUAAAACUAUAAAUAUCAAUGAUCUUAUUAAAAAUCAAAUCAUUUCGCUUUUUACAAAACUUCCUUUCGUAUGAAACGAAAUCAAUACUGUCCAACCAUAUCCACAAUUUUUCAUUCAUCCAUGCAUCGUUGCCCCAUGAUUCGAGGGGACGCGUACAUACACAACUGCAAGAAUUCGCAGUUUAUCAACUGAUUCUUAUUCAAAUAACGACAUUAUUUGCGAAAGGGACGAAGGAAACCGCAUUCCACCGUGUUUUUCACUCGGUUUCAAGCAACCAGACACGAGAUAUUUCGUCACUCAAGCGGUGACAACGUUACUGUUUCAACGUUGCGUUUUACUUCUCCUCUCCUCUCCUCUCCAUCUCUUUUUUCUUUUUCCCUUCCUCCUGUUUCCUUUUUUUCCUUUUUUUUCCCCCUUCUAUCGAUUAUCGUUACCCCAUAGAGGAUUCCACGAAGCUUAGCGGCGGGGUGAGAGCAUCCGCUUGUAGCUUCGCUCUUGCACAGUGUCCCGGGGAUUAGUUCUGGCUUUAAUGUCCGACGACAAGGGAUUUCAAAGGUAAUUGAAUCGGGUACAACGAUUCGCCCGAGUCUUUAAAGCCGCGGGACAGAUCGUAGACUAAGGUCGGCGGGCGAUUAUGUGUCGGGUUGACUGAUGAAAUUGCGAGUUUUGAUUUUGCGGAUGUGAUUGAGGGGAUUUCUAGAGGGCGAUUUCUUUACGAUAGGAUAUUUUUCUCUUUUUUUUUGUUCCUCGUUUCUGUGGCAAGGAUGGAUUAAAGGGUUCGUGGCAAAAAUAUUUUUUUGGAAUUUAUAAUUGUUAUUUAAAAAAUUUUUCCAUCUCUUUUGACGCGAUUCAGAUUUAAUGAUUAAAUUUUUGUAUAUUGUUUCGUACGAUAUUGGAAAUUUAAGGAUUAUUUCUAAUUGUAUGAGGUUAUAAGCAUAUAAUAUUGUAGGUAUAAGUGAAGUUGGAUUGUUUUUUUUUUUUAAUAAUAGAAAUUAAAAUGAUAUUAAAAUUGAAAAGUUUGGAAUUUGAAAGAUUCGUAUUACUCGUGGAAAGAAAUGAAAUUUUUCAUUUGAUGGAUGACUUAUCUCAGGUUUGAUUGAUUUCUUUACUCUUACUGAAAGAGAAAAUGGAAAUUAUAUGAUGGAUUAUACAAUAUUUUUAUAAUUACUAUCCUAUAAUAUUACUUUCUUUUCAUCAUAUUAAUAAUGUAUGACGUUAAGAGUCUCAUUCUAUAAAUCACAAAUUUUCCAAUUUUUCAAUACAACGUGAAGAAAACAAAUUCCAUCUACUUGUUAUGAUGUUACAAUGUGCACUUUGAAUUUCACUUUUCUACAAUUUUCUACACUUUAAAGCAGUAUCACGAGUAAUAUUUUUAUUAUCAGAAAAAGUUUAGCUUCAAUCAUUUGAUUUAGAUUUUUUUAAUAGGAAAAAGUAAAAACAUUCGUUCUAAUAAAUUUUAAGUUGGAAAUUAUGCUCGAAAAGAGUAAAGAAGAAUGCGAAAAGAUUGAAACUCUUUAAGUAAGCAAUCUUGUUCUUAUCGUUUUAUUAUCUCAUAAAUGUAUUAUCCAACAUCCAAUGAAAUUUUCUAAAUCCCUUAUCCACGACGAAAUAAAAAUUAUAUCUCGUUAAAAUGCCAAUCUCUGGGUAUUUCGAUUCUAAAAAUUCAACAUCCAUUCAUGGCAAAUAAAAAUAAAAAUAAGCUUUGAGGUUUGCCAUCCAUUCUAAAAUGAGAAGCUGGAAGACCAGCUAUCUCGAAUUUGCAACAAAGUUUAAUGUACCAACUCACCGGCAUACUGCAGCUUCUUUGGACAACUCAAAUACGCAAAUACGAAGUUGUAUUUGAGAAAGCAUCCGAUUCCAGAAAGACGAAUAUAGUUACACUUCGAAACCGCAACUUUCUUCAAUUAAUCUCCUCGAGAUUAUCGAAAAAUCGUUCAUCCGCGAGCUCUAAAAUGGAACUAAGACGAAGAACGAAAAGAAGAUCUCGCGUAGAGGAGCACGAGGGAGGAAGAGGGUUUGAAUUCGUGUGCACAGGCUGGUACACGCGUUAUCCGGUUAAUUCUUUCUGACUGGCUCUCGGCGAACAGAACCGGAAGUGGUGCCUCUCUCUCUCUCUUUCUCUUUUCGUGUCAGAUGGCCCGUGCUCGUUGGUCGUGCACGUCGUCGAUUUCCCCAGUUUUGAUCUGCCAUGUGGAAGGAUCUGAUCGCUAUGAAACGAGCAUCGGCCUACGAACGAACCGAACCUGUAAUCGGAUGGCUGAAGAUCGGGGGCCUACGCUGUGUGACGGUGGCAAAGGUAACCAAAGCUUGUGAACAUAAUGAACGAUAUUUCGGACCUGCUUCCAACCCUUUUUUCUUUUCGUUGGAGGAGGGGGAGGAGGAGAGGGAGGGGUGUGGAAAAGGAGAAGGGAGGAAAAAUUAGUCGCGGUGCAAAUGAAGCGUUGCCUCGUGAACGAAGAACGGGAAAAAGAUUUAUCGAUCAGAGAUUCGAGUAGAUUAAACUUGAUCGCGAAACGGGGAGAGUUUAACAAUCGUGUUUCGAGUUUCGAGUUUUGAUUUUAAACGGAAAUGAUUUAUAAUAAAAUUUGGGAAAUAUUUAAUUAUAAGAAUAUGAUUAUUGAAACAGACAAUAAUAUAUUAUGUAAUUGUAAUAUAUUAACAUUUGUUUUUUUGGAAUGUUUUCUAAUAAAAUUUAUAAUUUAUAAUAUAUUGUGUAACAUAUUCUAUAAUUAUAGUAUAUUAAUAUUUGUUCUUUUGGAAAUGAUUUAUAAUAAAAUUUGGGAAAUAUUUAAUACAAGAAUAAUAAUUAUAAUUAUAAUUAUAAUAUAAUAAUAAUUAUAAGAAUAUAAUCAUUGAAACAUACAAUAAUAAUAUAUUAUGUAAUUAUAAUAUAUUAACAUUUGUUCUUUUGAAAUGACUUGUAAUAAAAUUUGUAAUAAUAUAUUGUAUAACAUAUU